UACGUAGGGUGCAAGCGUUGUCCGGAAUUAUUGGGCGUAAAGAGCUCGUAGGCGGUCUGUCGCGUCUGCUGUGAAAUCCCGGGGCUCAACCCCGGGCUUGCAGUGAAUACGGGCAGACUAGAGUUCGGUAGGGGAGACUGGAAUUCCUGGUGUAGCGGUGAAAUGCGCAGAUAUCAGGAGGAACACCGGUGGCGAAGGCGGGUCUCUGGGCCGAUACUGACGCUGAGGAGCGAAAGCGUGGGGAGCGAACAGG
rnacentral:rRNA from 1 species